rnacentral:lncRNA from 1 species
UCUCCUUUCUUUCUCUUUUUCUCUCACUAGACUAUUAUCUUUCUCUCUCUCUCUAAACCUUUGUACAAUGGAAGAAUAGAAGUGUGAAGAGGAAGGGAAGGGGAGGGCAAUUUAUAGAAUUUUAGAACUGUUGGAUCCGCACCAAGUAGUGAAAUCCGGUGAAGAGAGAGGAGAAAAAGAUUUUUGGCACGAAAAAUGAGGGAGGAGGGCUUCCUCUACCAGCAGUAUGGCACACCGCCCAAGGCAGCGGUGGUGCACUGCAGGCUAGUCUACAGGCGCAUAGGUCUCCUGCCGCACUCGCAAGGCCUUGACACAUUUGACACCACGAGUGCAAGCCUAUUGCACGCAGGUCCCAAGAGCACAGGGCCUAUCUGUACAGGCCUACUUCGCGGACAACGCGUGCACAGUGUACAGCGCCUGUCUGUGCAUGAGGUGACACGCACACGGCCCGCCUAGGUGCAUCAGGACGUGCACGAAAGUUCUAACCCCAUGCUGUGCACGUAAAGGGGACGUGCGUGCUGUGCGUACAUCCUGUGCGUGCGUGCGUGCGUGCGGAUGGGACAUGUGCAUUGUGCGCAUAGUGCCCGGCACCUGCGUGGGCAACUAGCCUUCUCGGGGGAUUUUUUCUGUGGGAAUUUUUUUUCCUGUUUUGCCGUUUUCCAAUUUUUUACUAAAUUUUUAUUUUCAAUUUAAU